UCUCCAGACUCCUACGGGAGGCAGCAGUGGGGAAUAUUGCACAAUGGGGGAAACCCUGAUGCAGCGACGCCGCGUGAGUGAAGAAGUAUCUCGGUACGUAAAGCUCUAUCAGCAGGGAAGAAACUGACGGUACCUGAUUAAGAAGCCCCGGCUAACUACGUGCCAGCAGCCGCGGUAAUACGUAGGGGGCAAGCGUUAUCCGGAUUUACUGGGUGUAAAGGGAGCGUAGACGGCGGUGCAAGCCAGAUGUGAAAGCCCGGGGCUCAACCCCGGGACUGCAUUUGGAACUGUGCUGCUAGAGUGUCGGAGAGGCAGGCGGAAUUCCUAGUGUAGCGGUGAAAUGCGUAGAUAUUAGGAGGAACACCAGUGGCGAAGGCGGCUUACUGGACUGUAACUGACGUUGAGGCUCGAAAGCGUGGGGAGCAAACAGGAUUAGAUACCCCUGUAC
rnacentral:rRNA from 1 species